AUUGUACGCUGGCGGCAGGCCUAACACAUGCAAGUCGAGCGAGCGGCGGACGGGUGAGUAAUGUAUGGGGACUGCCCGAUAGAGGGGGAUAACUACUGGAAACGGUGGCUAAUACCGCAUACUAUCGGAUAACCCAUAUGGGAUUAGCUAGUAGGUGGGGUAAAGGCUCACCUAGGCGACGCUCUCCAGCUGGUCUGAGAGGAUGAUGAGCCACGCUGGGACGAGAACACGGCCCGGACUCCGACGGAGGCAGCAGUGGGGAAUAUUGCACAAUGGGCGCAAGCCGGAGGCAGCCAUGCCGCGGGUAUGAAGAGGGCCUUAGGGUUGUAAAGUACUUUCAGCGGGGAGGCGUUACCCGCAGAAGAAGCACCGGCUAACUCCGUGCCAGCAGCCGCGGUAAUUC
rnacentral:rRNA from 1 species